GAUGAACGCUAGCUACAGGCUUAACACAUGCAAGUCGAGGGGCAGCGGUAUCGAAAGCUUGCUUUCGGUAGCCGGCGACCGGCGCACGGGUGAGUAACGCGUAUCGAACCUGCCUCAUACUCGGGAAUAGCCUUGCGAAAGUAAGAUUAAUGCCCGGUGUUUUCAGAGUCCCGCAUGAGGCUUUGAACAAAGAUUUAUCGGUAUGAGAUGGCGAUGCGUCCCAUUAGCUUGUUGGCGGGGUAACGGCCCACCAAGGCAUCGAUGGGUAGGGGUGCUGAGAGGAAGGUCCCCCACAUUGGAACUGGGACACGGUCCAACCUCCUACGGGAGGCAGCAGUGAGGAAUAUUGGUCAAUGGGCGGAAGCCUGAACCAGCCAAGUAGCGUGCAGGAAGACGGCCCUCCGGGUUGUAAACUGCUUUUAGUUGGGAAUAAAACGGGGCUCGUGAGCCCCCUUGCAUGUACCAUCAGAAAAAGGACCGGCUAAUUCCGUGCCAGCCGCCGCCGUAA
rnacentral:rRNA from 1 species